CCUACGGGUGGCAGCAGUGAGGAAUAUUGGUCAAUGGGCUUACACCUGAACCAGCCAAGUCGCGUGAGGGAAGACUGCCCUAUGGGUUGUAAACCUCUUUUGUCAGGGAGCAAUUGGCGCUACGUGUAGCGUUAUCGAGAGUACCUGAAGAAAAAGCAUCGGCUAACUCCGUGCCAGCAGCCGCGGUAAUACGGAGGAUGCGAGCGUUAUCCGGAUUUAUUGGGUUUAAAGGGUGCGCAGGCGGAGGUGCAAGUCAGCGGUCAAAUUGCGGGGCUCAACCCCGUACUGCCGUUGAAACUGCAUCCCUUGAGUGCGCGAGAAGUAUGCGGAAUGCGUGGUGUAGCGGUGAAAUGCAUAGAUAUCACGCAGAACUCCGAUUGCGAAGGCAGCAUACCGGCGCGCAACUGACGCUCAUGCACGAAAGCGUGGGUAUCGAACAGGAUUAGAUACCCCAGUAGUC
rnacentral:rRNA from 1 species